ACAUGCUCUCAUGUUUUGAAUGUGCUGUUUUUCCCAUUUGCUGAAGAAGCCAACUUUGUUGAUACUAAGAAAAGAAACGAGUAGCUCAAGCCUCCCUUUAGGCUGAAUGCAGGUAUAGUUAAUGCAGGAAUACAUUCAAUGGAUAGUGUUUGUCUAAAACUAAAAAAAGAAAAAAAUCCCCCAGAACGCUGUACAUGAGCACUAGGAAAGAAAUCUGCAUGGAUGACUCUUCCUAAGAGCUGCAAAUAUUGUAGGAAAACACUCCUGUUGUGAGGCCCUAAAGAACUCCUCCUAGAAAAGUGCAACCAAAGAAUAACCAAAAAUGAUGAUAAUUCAAUGUGAUGUAAGCAAUGCCACAGUUGAAGACUGCUCUCCAGAAGAGACCAAAAUCACAGCAGUGUUUGCUAACAAGGCUAUAACUUCACAUGAUUGGCACUGUAGUUUUGAGGAAAUUUCAACAUGUUGGUCAUUUCACAAGAAAUUGCAAGUAGUUUUGUUAGGUAAAUGUUGAUCAUUUGACAGAAGUUAGAUAGCAAUAUCUAUUCAGUAUUCAGUGUUGCACUAGAGAAGACAUUUAUGCUAUAAUAAAACAAUGUAAUUCUGAUAACCA
rnacentral:lncRNA from 1 species